ACGAGGAGGCGUCCGCUGGUGACACCAUGGCAGGAAGCUCCCCACUCAGGCUACUCCUCGCAGUGGCUUUCUGUCUCUCCCAGACAGGGGCCAACACAGGACUCGAGGACUCUAAUUCAUCAGUAACACUUCCAAACUGGAAACCAAAUGCAGAAUACAUUACGAAGUGUGACUUCAAUAAUGGCCAGACUCCAUUUUGUGGGUGGACUCACUUAGGGUGGAUUGCAACGCCACAAGGAGCAGAGGGAUCUUAUCUCCUUCGUGAGAACGGCCUUUUGAACCCUUUUGGAUUGUCCCGCUUAGAGAGUGAACUCCUUAACCUCUCCGGC